UGGGGAAUAUUGCACAAUGGGGGAAACCCUAAUGCAGCGACGCCGCGUGAGCGAAGAAGGUUUUCGAAUCGUAAAGCUCUGUCCUAUGAGAAGAUAAUGACGGUAUCAUAGGAGGAAGCCCCGGCUAAAUACGUGCCAGCAGCCGCGGUAAUACGUAUGGGGCGAGCGUUGUCCGGAAUUAUUGGGCGUAAAGGGUACGUAGGCGGUCUAUUAAGUCAGGUGUGAAAGCGUGAGGCUUAACCUCAUUAAGCACUUGAAACUGAUAGACUUGAGUGAAGGAGAGGAAAGUGGAAUUCCUAGUGUAGCGGUGAAAUGCGUAGAUAUUAGGAGGAAUACCGGUGGCGAAGGCGACUUUCUGGACUUUUACUGACGCUCAGGUACGAAAGCGUGGGGAGCAAACAGG
rnacentral:rRNA from 1 species